rnacentral:snRNA from 1 species
GUGCUUGCUUUGGCAGCACAUAUAUAAAAAUUGGAAGAAUGCAGAGAUUAGCACGGCCCCUCAACAAGGAUGACACAAAAAUCCAUGAAGCGUUCCAUUAAUUA